rnacentral:lncRNA from 1 species
ACACUCACGAAUGCUGAGAUCCCAGGCAAGGAUGACCUUCUCUAAAAGGGACACAUGAAUACCAAGAUAUGGGAGGCUUGAGCAAAUACUAUGAAUCUCUCAAGGAGCUAUGGAUUACCUUAAAAGGCUAGACAACAGAGCCACGGCACAGGAAGUCUGCCCUGGAUGCUAUCCUGCUGGGAAUUGGCCCUCUGAAACAGAUCCAUCCACCCGAUGAGUCAUGACAUUAAAAAUGAUGAAGGAAAUGGACUGGUCCCCAGACAAACAGCUCGGGGCAAUACGAUUCCUGCAUCCAAAGGACUAUGGGUUACAGACACCUCUCUCUUCUGGGAUACAACGUGUAAAAGCCGGAUUGAGAUCUCUAUGCCUGUUCUUCAACUGCUGUGGCUACCACUAUUCCAAGAGACAGAAUAAGAAAGUUAAAGACAACAAGAAAUGGGUCUGUAAGGCCCGAAGUGAGUGGUGUGGCAAACGACUGGACUCACUCACAUGAAUAUAAGGCUAAUCCAUUCAGGAACAGACUAAGUCUCGUCCUGACCUACUUGUCGUUUUUCUGUAAAGACCACUCGAGGUUUUAUCAACUUGAUCAACAGAUUAUUAACACGGUGGCAGAAGGAGAAGCUAUAAAUAAAACAAGCUUUAUCCAAAUUAGGAAGAGCUAACAAAGACAACUCAGAAAGUGAAAGUGAACCAAGAAGAUUGCGUUGCUCUCAAGAAACGAUGUUAAUUAAAACUUUAGAAAGCAUGAUAA